CGGGACGUGGCCCAGCUUGGUAGGGCACUUGACUGGGGGUCAAGGGGUCGCCGGUUCAAAUCCGGCCGUCCCGA
rnacentral:tRNA from 1 species